UCUUUUGGGUAUGGCAUUUUACCAUCAAACUUUUAACUACAAAAGUUUGUGCAUAAGAUCUUUCUUUUCACUAGUUUAAUCAAUCUUCCAACAAUCAGCCACUUUGCAUUUUUAUAUGAUUUUAUCAGAGAUGCAAGCUUUUGCCUCACUGAUGUCUUGGCUUUUAUCAGUUACGUGGUUAUGUCGUCAAGCUGAUAGCUUGGAAGAUCUUUCAGCUCUACCGAAUAUAUGAUAUUCUUUCUCUACAGAUUUGGUCUCAAAGUUCCUAGCAUACCUUUGUCUAGUUUUCAGAUCUUAGAAACUCUAACAAAAAAUCAAUUGCAAGAAUAGCAUUUUUUUGGAACGAGGGGAUUUGGAAUUUAAGAACAUUGGCCAAGGGGAUGACUGGAAUAACUUCAUCAAGUUGCAGACAUUUUACUGGUUUUAUCUUUCUGGAAGAACUUUUACCUCGUCUGUAGCCAACCUUCUAUUGUUGGUCUCAAUUGCUCUUUUUGGAUAUGGCUUUUUACCAUCAAACAUAUUUGGUCUCAAAGUUCCAAACUACCUUUGUCUAGUUUUGAUAUGAUUCUCCGAAUCAUAAUAAAUACAAUUACUGGUUAAUUAUAGUUAUUUUCUCCCUGUUAUUCUUACAAUUGUUGUAAUAAAUAUUUGUAUUUUGAUGGGUGUAGAUGCAACAUCAACAUUAUGUUGUGCUUUCUCUCUUUUGCUCUAUGCUCGAUAUUUACUUUGUCGAAUUUUGGGCUUACGUUUCGAAAUCG